GAGACACCCCUCCGGGGAAAAAUUUGCUUCAGUGGGGCUUUGGUGCUCACUGAAUAUCCCCCCUGAGUGUGUCUUU
rfam:Myotis davidii contig39885, whole genome shotgun sequence.